GGUGAGUAACACGUGAGAAUUUGCCUUUAGGAAGGGAAUAACAGUUAGAAAUGGCUGCUAAUGCCCUAUAUGCUUUAUAGUGAAAGGAGUAAUCCGCCUGAAGAAAAGCUUGCGCCUGAUUAGCUUGUUGGUAAGGUAAUGGCUUACCAAGGCGACGAUCAGUAGCUGGUCUGAGAGGAUGAUCAGCCACACUGGAACUGAGACACGGUCCAGACUCCUACGGGAGGCAGCAGUGGGGAAUUUUCUGCAAUGGGCGAAAGCCUGACAGAGCAAUACCGCGUGAGGGAUGACAGCCUUUGGGUUGUAAACCUCUUUUUUCAAGGAAGAAGAUCUGACUUUACUUGAAGAAUAAGCAUCGGCUAACUCCGUGCCAGCAGCCGCGGUAAUACGGAGGAUGCAAGUGUUAUCCGGAUUUACUGGGCGUAAAGCGUCUGCAGGUUGUUUAGUAAGUCGAUUGUUAAAGCUUGGGGCUUAACCUCAAAAAAGCAAUGGAAACUGCUAGACUUGAGUAUGGUAGAGGUAAAAGGAAUUUCCAGUGGAGUGGUGAAAUGCGUAGAUAUUGGAAAGAACACCGAAGGCGAAGGCAUUUUACUGGGCCAUUACUGACACUCAGAGACGAAAGCUAGGGUAGCAAAUGGGAUUAGAUACCCCAGUAGUCCUAGCUGUAAACGAUGGAUACUAGAUGUUGCACGUAU
rnacentral:rRNA from 1 species